AUUGAACGCUGGCGGCAUGCUUUACACAUGCAAGUCGAACGGUAACAGGGUGCUUGCACCGCUGACGAGUGGCGAACGGGUGAGUAAUGCGUCGGAACGUGCCGAGUAGUGGGGGAUAACGCAUCGAAAGGUGUGCUAAUACCGCAUACGUACUGAGGUAGAAAGUGGGGGACCUUCGGGCCUCACGCUAUUCGAGCGGCCGACGUCUGAUUAGCUAGUUGGUGAGGUAAAGGCUCACCAAGGCGACGAUCAGUAGCGGGUCUGAGAGGAUGAUCCGCCACACUGGGACUGAGACACGGCCCAGACUCCUACGGGAGGCAGCAGUGGGGAAUUUUGGACAAUGGGCGCAAGCCUGAUCCAGCCAUGCCGCGUGUCUGAAGAAGGCCUUCGGGUUGUAAAGGACUUUUGUCAGGGAGGAAAUCCCUAGUGCUAAUAACACUGGGGGAUGACAGUACCUGAAGAAUAAGCACCGGCUAACUACGUGCCAGCCGCCGCAGUAAUAC
rnacentral:rRNA from 1 species